UCGUAGUGACCUGCGGAGGAUCAUUAUCGAAAUAAAUCUGAACAGGCUGUUGCUGGUCGGAAGACAUGUGCACGCUUGUCCUCUUUAUUUUUCCAACUGUGCACAUAUUGUAGACCUUUUUGAGGGAAUGAUGGCCAAGGUCUAUGUUACAUUUAACAACUUGUUGUAGAAUGGGGGAUAUGAAACAAAUAUACAACUUUCAGCAACGGAUCUCUUGGCUCUCGCAUCGAUGAAGAACGCAGCGAAAUGCGAUAAGUAAUGUGAAUUGCAGAAUUCAGUGAAUCAUCGAAUCUUUGAACGCAUCUUGCGCUCCUUGGUAUUCCGAGGAGCAUGCCUGUUUGAGUGUCAUCAAGUUCUCAACCAUACCUCGGUGUGGCUUGGAUUUGGGGGUUUUUGCAGGCUUCAAAGAAAGUCGGCUCCCCUGAAAAGCAUUAGCGGUGUCCGAGUACCUUUGGUGUGAUAACUAUCUAUGCCUUGGUGUAUAUGAUGCAUGCUGCUUCUGAACUUCAUUUUUAUUGACAAAUUUGACCUCAAAUCAGGUAGGAUUACCCGCUGAACUUAAGCAUAUCAAUAAGCGGAGGAAAAGAAACUAACAAGGAUUCCCCUAGUAACUGCGAGUGAAGCGGGAAAAGCUCAAAUUUAAAAUCUGGCGGUCGUUGGCUGUCCGAGUUGGUAAUUU
rnacentral:rRNA from 1 species